rnacentral:rRNA from 1 species
UACGAAGGGGGCUAGCGUUGUUCGGAAUCACUGGGCGUAAAGGGCGCGUAGGCGGCCGAUCAAGUCGGGGGUGAAAGCCUGUGGCUCAACCACAGAAUUGCCUUCGAUACUGUUUGGCUUGAGACCGGAAGAGGUUAGUGGAACUGCGAGUGUAGAGGUGAAAUUCGUAGAUAUUCGGCGGAACACCAGUGGCGAAGGCGACUCACUGGCCCGAUACUGACGCUGAGGCGCGAAAGCGUGGGGAGCAAACAGG